UGAAGAGUGUUAAAGAGAUGGCUCACUUCAUCCAACGUGCUGUGUGCUCCACAAUCUCGCCGUGGAAGAUAACUUGGAGUUAGAUGACGAAGGUGAAGAUGAUGAUGCACCAUCUGAAGAACCAACAUUGAUGACAGAAGUGGCAUUGCAAAGAGGAACAUGAUUGGAGCGCAGUUGCAAAUGUACUAGCAGCACCAGAUGCCCCAUCACCAACAUUUGGCAACAAAUAUCGUAUUAUUGAUGUGGAUGUUAGGGUGUGCUGUCACGAACUACACACCAGAGCUCAAGGUGAAGGAAGCCAACUGCAGGCUAUGGAGGAAGAAUAGAGGGCUGUCCCAGAAUAAUCAACAGCUAAGACAUGUAAAGGGAAGUAAGAGACACAUCAAUCAAAGGAUUUCCACAUAAGCUGCUUUAAGAAACAAUGUUAAAGAAUGGAAUACUGUAACUCCUUAAGUAUUUGGUUUCAGCACAGCUAUUCAAUUAUAGGAAUACUGUCAGG